rnacentral:lncRNA from 1 species
UCUUCUUCUGGACGUCGACCCAUUAAGAAAGAAAAAAAAAUAAGAAGAAUAAAAAAAGAAUGCAAAGUGCUGGGGCACCCAAACCCAGUCAGAUCAAGAAAUCCAAGUCCGAUCAGAGUCAGACAGAAUACUUCUAUUGCAAGAAGAAGAGGUACUGAAAGAAAAAUUCUCCUCAGUACAUUACCUCCUUGGAUCCAAAC